CUCCCGUGAAGUGCAGAUCUGUUCAGACCUGGUUGGUGA
rnacentral:rRNA from 1 species